CCCAUUUCCUGUCUGUGGUUUGAUGUAAUUCAUUUAUUCUGGAUAUGUAUUUUCUCCAUUUAGUCCAAUUUACAUCUCAAAAUGUUGUUAUAUUCUCAAUAGCAUGAUUUUCUUAUUGUUUCAGGAGAUCGGGCUCCUCAACCUGGAGCAGAUCCAGAGCAAGGUAGUCCACAGCAUCAACUUCUGGUGAGCCCUGAAUACCAAGAGACCAACGUGUCAGGAGAUGCCGCGUAGCUUGUCUCCACUGACCUACCGCCAGAAAUCACGAGUCAUCAUUCCUUCGCCACCAUGGCUGCUGUUUGCACUCAAUGAGUUGUGCAGGGUGAAAGUGAUUUUUCAGCUCAGCUGCGACUUAUCAAAUCACUGCAUGAAUUAUAAGCUACCGAUACUUUAAAUUGCGGCUGGAUGGGUAAAAGACAAAAAGGAUGCAACGUAAGCAAUCUGUGGCUUGUACAGCUAAAUUGUAAGGCCGAAUGCUUUUGAAAAAUAAACUGUGAUUUUUAAUUUUUUUUAACAACCAACCCUGCUUUAGAUGUUUCAAAUGUCACCCAAACACAAAUGCCAAGGCAAUGGACAAGCACAUUGGAGAAAAAAAAAUAGUCACGGACCAACUGUGAUGUUUUUAGUCCUGCUGUUGUAAAUUCGUUCUGAGCAUUAGGACGUGCGGCGUCCACCUGAUCCUGUGAUACACUCUUUUUCAUAAUUAAAACACUCACCACUAUGCUC